AUAAGCACAAAGCAGCAGAAUCCAUCUACCACCAAACGUCAAUCUCAUUCAUUUGGUGUGCGAUCGCUUGCGGCAGACAUUCUAGAUUUUUCCAUUCUUUCCGUGAAGCCGGAAAAGAUCCCUUCAAAAUGACUGCCUGGAGAGCUGCCGGUUUGAACUACAUCAACUACUCUAACAUUGCCGCUCGGUUGGUGCGCAAAGCGCUGAAGCCAGAACAGCGGGCACAGGCCUCUCGACGAGACGAGUCCCACAUCAAGUUCACCAAAUGGGUCAACGGAAAGCCAGAAAAUGAAAAGUAAACAAUUGUCAAUUAGUACUACUCUGCUUAAGUUUCCGCUCUUUGGGAUAGGUAUUAAUAUUAACAAGCAGGGAUUUUAGGCAGCAAUUGAAAAUUAAAUCCGGAAGUAAGUCAUCUCUAUUCGAUUGAGUUCGUUCAGUAUCAAUAAAAGUCAAGAUCCUACGAUGAACGGAAGGUAAAUUUUAA